AGUGAACCAGUACCGUGAGGGAAAGGCGAAAAGAACCCCGGCGAGGGGAGUGAAAAAGAACCUGAAACCGUGUACGUACAAGCAGUGGGAGCCUCUUUAUGGGGUGACUGCGUACCUUUUGUAUAAUGGGUCAGCGACUUAUAUUCUGUAGCAAGGUUAACCGAAUAGGGGAGCCGAAGGGAAACCGAGUCUUAACUGGGCGUUAAGUUGCAGGGUAUAGACCCGAAACCCGGUGAUCUAGCCAUGGGCAGGUUGAAGGUUGGGUAACACUAACUGGAGGACCGAACCGACUAAUGUUGAAAAAUUAGCGGAUGACUUGUGGCUGGGGGUGAAAGGCCAAUCAAACCGGGAGAUAGCUGGUUCUCCCCGAAAGCUAUUUAGGUAGCGCCUCGUGAAUUCAUCUCCGGGGGUAGAGCACUGUUUCGGCAAGGGGGUCAUCCCGACUUACCAACCCGAUGCAAACUGCGAAUACCGGAGAAUGUUAUCACGGGAGACACACGGCGGGUGCUAACGUCCGUCGUGAAGAGGGAAACAACCCAGACCGCCAGCUAAGGUCCCAAAGUCAUGGUUAAGUGGGAAACGAUGUGGGAAGGCCCAGACAGCCAGGAUGUUGGCUUAGAAGCAGCCAUCAUUUAAAGAAAGCGUAAUAGCUCACUGGUCGAGUCGGCCUGCGCGGAAGAUGUAACGGGGCUAAACCAUGCACCGAAGCUGCGGCAGCGACACUAUGUGUUGUUGGGUAGGGGAGCGUUCUGUAAGCCUGUGAAGGUGGCCUGUGAGGGUUGCUGGAGGUAUCAGAAGUGCGAAUGCUGACAUAAGUAACGAUAAAGCGGGUGAAAAGCCCGCUCGCCGGAAGACCAAGGGUUCCUGUCCAACGUUAAUCGGGGCAGGGUGAGUCGACCCCUAAGGCGAGGCCGAAAGGCGUAGUCGAUGGGAAACAGGUUAAUAUUCCUGUACUUGGUGUUACUGCGAAGGGGGGACGGAGAAGGCUAUGUUGGCCGGGCGACGGUUGUCCCGGUUUAAGCGUGUAGGCUGGUUUUCCAGGCAAAUCCGGAAAACCAAGGCUGAGGCGUGAUGACGAGGCACUACGGUGCUGAAGCGACAAAUGCCCUGCUUCCAGGAAAAGCCUCUAAGCAUCAGGUAACAUCAAAUCGUACCCCAAACCGACACAGGUGGUCAGGUAGAGAAUACCAAGGCGCUUGAGAGAACUCGGGUGAAGGAACUAGGCAAAAUGGUGCCGUAACUUCGGGAGAAGGCACGCUGAUAUGUAGGUGAAGCGACUUGCUCGUGGAGCUGAAAUCAGUCGAAGAUACCAGCUGGCUGCAACUGUUUAUUAAAAACACAGCACUGUGCAAACACGAAAGUGGACGUAUACGGUGUGACGCCUGCCCGGUGCCGGAAGGUUAAUUGAUGGGGUUAGCGGUAACGCGAAGCUCUUGAUCGAAGCCCCGGUAAACGGCGGCCGUAACUAUAACGGUCCUAAGGUAGCGAAAUUCCUUGUCGGGUAAGUUCCGACCUGCACGAAUGGCGUAAUGAUGGCCAGGCUGUCUCCACCCGAGACUCAGUGAAAUUGAACUCGCUGUGAAGAUGCAGUGUACCCGCGGCAAGACGGAAAGACCCCGUGAACCUUUACUAUAGCUUGACACUGAACAUUGAGCCUUGAUGUGUAGGAUAGGUGGGAGGCUUUGAAGUGUGGACGCCAGUCUGCAUGGAGCCGACCUUGAAAUACCACCCUUUAAUGUUUGAUGUUCUAACGUUGGCCCGUAAUCCGGGUUGCGGACAGUGUCUGGUGGGUAGUUUGACUGGGGCGGUCUCCUCCUAAAGAGUAACGGAGGAGCACGAAGGUUGGCUAAUCCUGGUCGGACAUCAGGAGGUUAGUGCAAUGGCAUAAGCCAGCUUGACUGCGAGCGUGACGGCGCGAGCAGGUGCGAAAGCAGGUCAUAGUGAUCCGGUGGUUCUGAAUGGAAGGGCCAUCGCUCAACGGAUAAAAGGUACUCCGGGGA
rnacentral:rRNA from 1 species